rnacentral:rRNA from 1 species
UACGGAGGGUGCGAGCGUUGUCCGGAAUCACUGGGCGUAAAGGGCGCGUAGGCGGCCUGAUAAGUUAGGGGGUGAAAUCCUGCGGCUUAACCGCAGGGCUGCCUUCUAAACUGUCAGGCUUGAGCACAGUAGAGGCAGGUGGAAUUCCCGGUGUAGCGGUGGAAUGCGUAGAGAUCGGGAAGAACAUCAGUGGCGAAGGCGGCCUGCUGGGCUGUUGCUGACGCUGAGGCGCGACAGCGUGGGGAGCAAACAGG